rnacentral:rRNA from 1 species
CCCUUAGAUGUUCUGGGCCGCACGCGCGCUACACUGAUGCAUUCAACGAGUUUCUUCCUGGUCCGAGAGGAAUGGGUAACCUUUUGAAAGUGCAUCGUGAUAGGGAUAGACUAUUGCAAUUAUUGGUCUUCAACGAGGAAUUCCUAGUAGACGUAGUUCAUCAGACUGCAUCGAUUACGUCCCUGCCCUUUGUACACACCGCCCGUCGCUCCUACCGAUUGAAUGCUCAGGUGAGCCAUUCGGAAUUUCAUCAUGCUGGUUUCCAGUUUUGAUGAAGGAAAGUCUUGCGAACCUUAUCAUUUAGAGGAAGGAGAAGUCGUAACA